rnacentral:rRNA from 1 species
AAUGAACGCUGGCGGUAUGCCUAACACAUGCAAGUCGAACGGCAGCACAGUAAGAGCUUGCUCUUACGGGUGGCGAGUGGCGGACGGGUGAGGAAUACAUCGGAAUCUACUUUUUCGUGGGGGAUAACGUAGGGAAACUUACGCUAAUACCUCAUACUACCUAUGGGUGAAAGCAGGGGAUCUUCGUACCUUGCGCGAUUGAAUGAGCCGAUGUCGGAUUAGCUAGUUGGCGGGGGAAAGGCCCACCAAGGCGACGAUCCGUAGCUGGUCUGAGAGGAUGAUCAGCCACACUGGAACUGAGCCACGGUCCAGACUCCUACGGGAGGCAGCAGUGGGGAAUAUUGGACAAUGGGCGCAAGCUUGCUCCAGCCAUACCGCGUGGGUGAAGAAGGCCUUCGGGUUGUAAAGCCCUUUUGUUGGGAAAGAAAAGCAGCAGGUUAAUACCCCGCUGUUCUGACGGUACCCAAAGAAUAAGCACCGGCUAACUUCGUG